rnacentral:rRNA from 1 species
ACUCCUACGGGAGGCAGCAGUGGGGAAUAUUGCACAAUGGGCGCAAGCCUGAUGCAGCCAUGCCGCGUGUGUGAAGAAGGCCUUCGGGUUGUAAAGCACUUUCAGUCGUGAGGAAGGUAGUGUAGUUAAUAGCUGCAUUAUUUGUACGUUAGCGACAGAAGAAGCACCGGCUAACUCCGUGCCAGCAGCCGCGGUAAUACGGAGGGUGCGAGCGUUAAUCGGAAUUACUGGGCGUAAAGCGCAUGCAGGUGGUUGUUAAGUCAGAUGUGAAAGCCCGGGGCUCAACCUCGGAAUAGCAUUUGAAACUGGCAGACUAGAGUACUGUAGAGGGGGUAGAAUUUCAGGUGUAGCGGUGAAAUGCGUAGAGAUCUGAAGGAAUACCGGUGGCGAAGGCGGCCCCUGGACAGAUACUGACACUCAGAUGCGAAAGCGUGGGAGCG